rnacentral:tRNA from 1 species
GGCUCGAUAGCUCAGUUGGUAGAGCAGAGGACUGAAAAUCCUUGUGUCGGUGGUUCAAUUCCGCCUCGAGCCA